rnacentral:ncRNA from 1 species
CUGAGUGAUCCUGCCAGUAGCAUAUUCCUCUCAAAGAUUAAGCCAUGCACGGCUUAGUUCACACGGCCGGUACAGUGAAACUGCCAAUGGCUCAUUUUAAAUCAGUUCCUUUGAUCGCUCCAACGUUACUUGGAUAACUGUUCUAGAGCUAAUACAUGCCAACGAGUGCUGACCGUUGGGAUGUGUGUAUUUAUCAGACCUAAAAUCCAUGCGCGUACUCUAAGGCUUUUAGUGACUCUCUAAUCUCGACUGGUGGCGUGCCAUUCGUGGCGCUGACAUCUAAUUUGAAUGUGUGCCCUAUCAAUUUCCGAUGGUACUUUCUGUGCAUACCAUGGUGAUCAUGGGUAACGGGGAAUCAGGGUUAGAUUCCGGCUUGGAGCCUAAGAAAUGGCUUCCACAUCCAAGGAAGGCAACAGGCUCGCAAAUGACCCACUCCCGACUUGGGGAGGUAGUGAUGAAAAAUAGCAGUGCAGGACUUUUUCGAGGUCCUGUAAUUGUAAUGAGUACAUUUUAAAUCCUUUAAUUAGGAUCCGCUACAUUGUAGAGCGGUCAGAAACUACAUU